UUUUAAGGUCAAGCUACAAAGGGCGCAUGGUGAAUGCCUUGGCACUAGGAGCCGAAGAAGGACGCGAUAAGCUGCGAUAAGCCUUGGGUAGCCGCAAAUAGGCUGAGAUCCAGGGAUUUCCGAAUGAGGAAACUCACAUGGGUAACCCCAUGUAUUAUGCACUGAAUACAUAGGUGUAUGAGGGUAAACCCGGGGAACUGAAACAUCUAAGUACCCGGAGGAAGAGAAAGAAAAAUCGAUUUCCUAAGUAGCGGCGAGCGAACGGGAAAGAGCCCAAACCAGAAACUUGUUUCUGGGGUUGUGGAUAGAUCAUAAAAGAAGAGGUAUCUUAAUCGAAGAGGGCUGGAACGCCCUACCAUAGAAGGUAAUAGUCCUGUAGGUAAAAAGAGAAAACUUCGAGAUCUAAUCCAGAGUACCACGAGACACGUGAAACCUUGUGGGAAGCAGGGAGGACCACCUCCCAAGGCUAAAUACUACCUAGUGACCGAUAGUGAAGCAGUACCGUGAGGGAAAGGUGAAAAGAACCCCGGAAGGGGAGUGAAAUAGAACCUGAAACCGUGUGCCUACAACCGAUCGGAGCACGUUAAAGUGUGACGAUGUGCUUUUUGUAGAACGAGCCAGCGAGUUACGCUAUGUAGCAAGGUUAAGUACUUAAGGUAUGGAGCCGAAGGGAAACCGAGUCUGAAAAGGGCGAAAAGUUGCAUGGUGUAGACCCGAAACCGGGUGACCUAUCCAUGGCCAGGUUGAAGCGAGAGUAAAAUCUCGUGGAGGACCGAACCACGUUGGUGUUGAAAAACCAUGGGAUGAGCUGUGGAUAGCGGAGAAAUUCCAAUCGAACUCGGAGAUAGCUGGUUCUCCUCGAAAUAGCUUUAGGGCUAGCGUCGUGUAAUUGAGUAAUGGAGGUAGAGCACUGA
rnacentral:rRNA from 1 species